AAGACCUUGCGCUUUUGGAGCGGCCGAUGCCUGAUUAGCUUGUUGGUAAGGUAAAAGCUUACCAAGGCUUCGAUCAGUAGCUGGUCUGAGAGGACGGCCAGCCACACUGGGACUGAGACACGGCCCAGACUCCUACGGGAGGCAGCAGUGGGGAAUUUUGGACAAUGGGGGCAACCCUGAUCCAGCCAUGCCGCGUGAGUGAAGAAGGCCUUCGGGUUGUCAAGCUCUUUCAGCCGGAACGAAACGGUUACGGUUAAUACCCGUGACUACUGACGGUACCGGAAGAAGAAGCACCGGCUAACUACGUGCCAGCAGCCGCGGUAAUACGUAGGGUGCGAGCGUUAAUCGGAAUUACUGGGCGUAAAGCGUGCGCAGGUGGUUUUGUAAGUCAGAUGUGAAAGCCCCGGGCUCAACCUGGGAACU
rnacentral:rRNA from 1 species